AUGAACGCUAGCGACAGGCCUAACACAUGCAAGUCAGGGGCAGCACAAGGAGCAAUCUGAGGUGGCGACCGGCGCACGGGUGAGUAACACGUAUGCAACCUGCCUGUAAGCGGGGAAUAACCCGUUGCAAGACGGACUAAUACCGCAUAAUACUAAAUUACUGCAUGGUAAUUUAUUUAAACAUUUAUGGCUUACAGAUGGGCAUGCGCAUGAUUAGCUAGUUGGAGAGGUAACGGCUCCCCAAGGCAACGAUCAUUAGGGGUUCUGAGAGGAAGGUCCCCCCACACUGGUACUGAGACACGGACCAGACUCCUACGGGAGGCAGCAGUGAGGAAUAUUGGUCAAUGGACGAGAGUCUGAACCAGCCAAGUCGCGUGCAGGAAGAAUGUCCUAUGGAUUGUAAACUGCUUUUGCAGGGGAAUAAAGUGCAUCACGUGUGAUGUUUUGUAUGUACUCUGCGAAUAAGGAUCGGCUAACUCCGUGCCAGCCGCCGC
rnacentral:rRNA from 1 species